GGAGAAUCUAGCUAGAGCUUGUUGGCUGUGCUGAGGAGAAGAAGGAGUCAGUACUGUGAGGAGCUGCCCAUAAGAAAUCACCAGGAAGUUCUCCUCCAGUUCACUGCUAUCCUUCCAGCAUUGCUGUGAGACUUUGAAAGCUUUGUGACUGUCAGUGCUCCAGGGCUGAGAGGAUGGUUGGAAAACUCCACGGAAAAGAAUCCAGCCUGGGAGAUUACAUGAGAAAUCAGUAACCUUCAGAACAGAAGAAUUUGCUACAGAAAUGGAACAAUAGGGAUUUGGAAGGCCUAUCUCAAAAGGGUUUUUUUCAUUUUCCUUGCUGUUCAAAAGUCUUGGUGCAGACACAUUUCUACAAGCCACUGAGCAUAAAAUACACGUGUGCAUGUACAUUUCUGGGAUAUACAGUUAAUUUGUCUCACUGGAAACAUUUGGCUGUUAAGAUAACAGAGUUUAAAUUUCUCUUGAGUUAUGAGACCUGCCACCUAUCUCUAGCUGAUAUAGAUAGGACAGAAAGAUGACCUUGUUUUAUAGGUUUUUUUAGAUACGUUUCUCUUUUAUUUAAACUUACUGUGUGGGAGAACCUAAUUGCCAAUAGAGAGAAAACUUCUAAAUAUGUUUUAAACUGUUUUUUCUUGCCACAUAUUAAAAAUAAAACAAAUCCUCCCUAGAACAUACUGUAAUCUUUACAACCUCUUCCUAUUUUAGUUUAUUAGGACAGAAGAAAUCGCACUCAUGCCCCUAAUUUUUCUUUUAGUCAUUAUGGGAUCUAAAGAUUUGGAGAAAAAAGUCUUCUUAAAGCUUAAGUGGACAUAAAUGGAUGUAAGGACAGGGAAAGUGUGUAGGAAAUGUGUCUGGGAAGUUCCUCCAGCAGCUGGCAGACCCACAUGGUUGGAAGGCAUAGUGUAAAUAGGUGGUUUAGGGAAGUUGGAAUAAAUUUCCCAUUGAACUUAUGGCCAGGAUUUCUCCUAUCAGUGUUCAAGAAAUCAAGAACAUUAAUCCUGUACAAUUACUUACAUGUACCUGUGAUCAGAGAGCUAAAAAAUAUCAGAGCUCCUCAUGCCUGCCCAAGGACAGAUGCCAUCAUUGGGACAAAAAGCUGGAAACAUAUUCCUGUUUCCUGAAGUCUACAAAAUGGCACUUUAGAAUCUUUUUUUCAACUUAAAAUAAAUGAGCUUUUCCAUGCUUUGCUUUUCUUGGUGUUUUGAGGGAUUUUUUUUCUUGGUCCCUCUGGUCCCAAUCACUGAUUAUUCCUGGAGCUCUGUUCUCUGGCUUGGCAUGUUGUAUUUCUACCAACAGGAGGCUAUCCUCAGAAUCAGCAAUUCUGCUCUGUAAAGACACCAAAAAUUUCUGUGGAAGUUUAAAAUUCCCCAGAGAUGUCUCUGCUGCCCCUUAACAUCACUACUAGGUGAGACAGCAAUAUCAGCCACAUCUUUCUUAAAGCCUUGGGAUGAAAAAUACUGAAUGAUAGAGAGGAAGACAAUCUUUGUUUAAGAAACAAUUGAGUUCAUCUCCUGAUUUGUUGCAUAUCUGAAAGCAAGAUGUCUUCUUUUAUGAUGAUUUAUAGGUAUGCAUUGAAAUUAGUUGCCUUAUUUUGAAAUGAUAACUUGUAAUUUUCCUGUAAAAUAGAUGCUCAGAUGAUAUUGAUAAACAAUCCCGAUUCAGUCUUCCUUCCCCCUUGAUGGACUUCUGUGUACUGAACGUAUUUCAUCAGAUUCCUCCCUGCUUUUGGAAUGUGUAUAUCACAGCAUUUUUAUGGGCUAUUAUUUAUUUUUCUUUUAAAAAUAACUUGUUUAUCCCUCUUGGAUUUCCUCUGCUACUUUGCAAUACUUUUAUUGACAAGCAAGUUCAUUUUCCUUGUCUUAGACAUAUAAAAGAUGUUUAUAGCAGCCACAUUUUUAAGUAGUUUUUUGUAGUGAGUCUGAGGAAGGUCUCAGCCCUUUAUUUAACAUUUUAGUCCCAUGAUGCCUACAUUCCAAGCAGAUCAGCCCUGUUAUGUCAGGUUCUUCAUGAAGAAGAGCUACUGGAAUCCCUUGAUUCAUCUCUGAGACAAAUUAGGGAGAAGAACAGAGCCAGCAGAGUGGGAUUGGUGGAGGAAAUAGUUGUAGAAAUAGAAUAAACCCUACAUAUACUGAUAACUUUCAAAUGUGAAAUGCCACUGAAGUGAGAAACCUUCCCCAAAGUGGAAGAUUGUUUGAAGAACACUAAAUAGGGUGCUAGAUGGGUCUGUUUCUCCCUAUCCAAGGACUUUUGGAUUCUUAGUGGCUUUGCUAGAAUUCACAACUAUUUCUCACAGCUGCAAGUAUCAAUAACUCCCAGGAUAAUAUGGUCUCUGCAAAGCCAUUAUCAGAAGGUGAGGGUUUUUUCAUGUGACAUGGCCUGUUUCAAAGUUUUCAGUGCCAUUCUGAUCUGAAUUAAAUAGAUCUGGUUUUUUUAAGUCCUGACUCAUUACAGUGUAGCAUCACAACUUAUACAGUCACCAACCUCCUUAUAAUUCUUACUUUUUUUCUGGCUUUAGGCUCCACAGGCCUGACACUGCACACCCAUCAAUGCUAUAAAACAAGAUUUGGUCAAGUGUAAUAAGAAAAAUAGGAAGGAGAAAUGCAAAGUAUUGUAGUUGGGCAGAAACAAUGACCCUCAGAAAUUUGGGCUGGGAAAAUUCUGGUAUGAAUUAUUUAUGGUGUAAAAGAGGAACUGGGGGCUGUAGUAGCAAGGAUUGAUGAGAUUAAAUUAUUCUGGAGGGGGAAAAUAUGGUCUGGUGUUGCAGGAAAAAAACUAGAGUCUGAAAAAUAGGUAAUGUCUUUAUUUUUGUUCAAAACUAGGCAGAAUUCACAUGGAAAACUGUCUACUUUUGGACACGAUACUUCAAGAAAAUGUAGUUUCACAGAGGACAGUCUAGUACAAAGCCAUUUGAUCAACUAGCAAUUGGAAAGGGUGGUUUGCAGGGAAAGUGGGAAUGAGAUCAGGUAACCUGAACAAGGACUGAAGAAAGGAUAUAAUAGAAUCUGAGAUAUACAAGAGGCUGUUGUAGAGAGAGAAUAGGUUUCAGGGUUUGAAGCAGAACAGGCAAGACACAGUUUGCUUCAAUUGCAAAACAGAUGAGUGGCACAUAUUAUAAAAGCAUACUGCUAUUGUAAGAAGGUUAAAUGUUCUCAGCUUCUGAGAAGGAUAUAAUACCUGAAUAGCCAGGACAGCUGGAAAAUUCUCCUUGGUGUACUUAUCUCUUUCUUCAAAAUCAGUACAUGCUUUUUGAAAUAUAACACCUUAUUUAGCCAGCAAGAAAAAGAAACUGGAUUUCCUUGCUCUGAACUCACAUUUACUUCCCCAAAACAGUUAUUGCAGCCAUCAUGAACCUGUGGGAAGUGGAGCCCUGAGGCUAUAAUCAGUCAGUAAUGCACAGACCAUUGAAUGUGAAUAAACAGUGGGACAGCCUAAAGCAAACAGCAGCUUGGGCUUUACAGCCACCCAAGGAAAGCAGGGAACAAAUUGAUUUGAGAGGAGCUUGUCAGGAGGAGCUUGUCAUUCUCCCUUGUGCUUUCCACUAAACCAUCAGGACUAGAGUCUUUAUUCAGGGAGUGCCAGCUACUCCAUGAGGCCUUCCCAGGGAGUAAUUAGGAAUUUUUUGCACAAGCUCACAAGGAAGUUGGGUUUGGAAGGGACCUGAGAGACUACCUGGUUCCCCCACCCUAUUCAGGCUCGAGCAGGCUGCCUAGGACAGCAACUCAUCUAACAUUUUAUGUAAAUUAAAGUCCACUUCAGAGUGUGUAUUUCUUUUAGCUCAGGGAAAGACACUAAGUAGCUAAUGAGGGACAGAGCAUAUUCUCAGUUUUCAUUUGGUCAUAGAAAGCAAAGGAUGUUUGCAGUGUUUUGUUGUGGAGAACACCCCAUGUGUGGAGACAUGAAGCUUGACUCCAUUUCAGAAGGCUGAUUUAUUAUCUUAUGAUAUUAUAUUAAAAUACUACAUUAAAGCUAUACUAAAAGAACAGAGAGAAGAAUGAUCAGAAGGCUACAAAGAACAAGAAUAGAAUAGAAUGCAUAACAAAAUCUUGUGACUGCUCACAGCCUCUGCACAGGUGGCUGUAACUGGUCAUCAAGUGAAAACAAUCCACAUGGACCAAUGGAAGAUGCACCUGUUGCAUUCCACAGCAGCAGAUAGUUAUUGUUUACAUUUCUUUCCUGGGGCUCCCAGCUCCCAGGAGGGAAAAAAUCCUAGGAAAGGAUUUUUCAUAAAAUAUCAUAGCUACAAUGUUUAGGUUGAAUGAUGUAGUACAUUAUAAUUUCUUAACUGUAUUUUCAAUGGAACACAUUGAGUAAAGAAUCCCCUGUGCUGUGUGCCUCCAGAAAAACCACUGGAAAAUAAAUGGGAUUACUUGAAAAAAUUAAAUUCUCAAUCAUAGAAACUAAACUCUGAAGCAGGUAAACUUUUUGCAUUAUGAAUGUACUAACUUGCAUGAAAAAAGUGAUUUUUGCAGUUUUUCAAAGGCCUUCUUAGAAUUCUUCUAGAAAUUCUAAAAUUCUUCUUAAAUUCUAGAAUUCUUAAUUCUAGAAUUCUUCUUAAAAUUGUUUCUUGAGCAGCGGUGUUUUCUACACUGUGUGGUGUGUGGUUUCAACAAAGGUAGACCAUGGGUCUUUGAAAAUCUUAUGGCAAUUCUAUGUCAGGAAGCAGCGAGCAAUUCAGGCAGAAGUCUUCUGCUGACUGGGAUAUAAUUUUUUUUGGAGAGGUAAAAAUGUGUUAAACUUAUAAUAGGAGAAAAACCAUGGAAUGACUGCAAUGGGUAUUCAUCUAAUAUAUGAAGAGGCUGGAAUGAAACUGUCCAACUGACAGGAGUGGAAAUGUCACUGCUACGUCAUAAAUAUUUAGCCUGUCACUUGAAUAAAAUGCAGACACUCACCGCUUG